CAAAACAUUUUGACUUUUCAAAGAGGAAAAGAAGUGUCCUGCUAAUUUGAAGGCUGACAGGUCUUCAAAAACUGGAAAAAAUGAUUUAAUUGUGAGCCAGGUAUCUGGAGAACAAGAUUUGGAGUUUUACGUCAAGUUUUGCACCUGUGUUCAGCUGGAUGGAGAGCAGAGUGAUGCCUUAUUCCCUCCUCUCCUCUAUGGACCAGUGCUCUGACUCACAUAUCUGUCCGCCUGGGUCUGCAUGGGCUUGAAGCCACCAUCGUCAUGACUUUUUCGUGUUCCCAAAUAAGCAGAAAUUACUUCCUGGCAUUAGCAUUGACUCAUCAAAUUAAUGCUGCCUGCCCUGGAAUGAGCCAUGUCUGCUGCUUGGCCCUUGGCAGGCUUUGAGGUUGUGCUGCCAAGGGCCAAGUUUACAUCCCCUGGGAUUUUUGGGACCUGUUUGUUCUGCCUGUGGCUGAGAGUGUCUCCCAUUACUCAGGGUGCUUUUUAGCAGGCAGGGUGUGGAGAUGGGCUGGGGUCCAGCCUACAGUGAUAACCCUAAGCCAAGCAGUCUGCAAAGUGCUGGGUGACUUCUUAAACUAGGAGUUGAGCAGAGAAAGCUAAAAAAUCAAGCAGAUCAAGAUAGGAUUUGCCAACUUUGCUUCUUCCAAUUUGCUUGGUAGUCCCGGGGAAUGGAAGAGUUUGAGGUGUGCACAGCACUGUCUGGGCACUCAGAGCAGGGUCUGGGGCUGCAGUGAUGCUGGGAGGAAGGGCCAGCACAGCCACCUGCAUGCUACAUGCUUUAAAUGUUUUGAGGAUCUUUCCAGCCCAGGAAAAGCUAUUUUUAAGCACUGCAUCCUGAAAAAUCUCCUUGGUUUUGCUCCCUUGGUAGCAGGUGAAGCCCAGCCUGUGCAAGAUGCUUCAUCAUCCCGAGUCUCCAGCCCUCAGCCUCACUUCCAGGUUUCCUUCAUGUACUUUCCAAAAUCUCUUCCUUCAUUCACAUCACAUAUCAUUAAUUAAAAUGGAGAGAAUGUUUCUGAUUGGCACACAGGAGGGACAUUGGGGAUUAUUAGCAGGAGAUGCA